UAGGGAAUCUUCGGCAAUGGACGAAAGUCUGACCGAGCAACGCCGCGUGAGUGAAGAAGGUUUUCGGAUCGUAAAACUCUGUUGUUAGAGAAGAACAAGGACGUUAGUAACUGAACGUCCCCUGACGGUAUCUAACCAGAAAGCCACGGCUAACUACGUGCCAGCAGCCGCGGUAAUACGUAGGUGGCAAGCGUUGUCCGGAUUUAUUGGGCGUAAAGCGAGCGCAGGCGGUUUCUUAAGUCUGAUGUAAAAGCCCCCGGCUCAACCGGGGAGGGUCAUUGGAAACUGAGAGACUUGGGUGCAGAAGAGGAGAGUGGAAUUCCAUGUGUAGCGGUGAAAUGCGUGGAUAUAUGGAGGAACACCAGUGGCGAAGGCGGCUCUCUGGUCUGUAACUGACGCUGAGGCUCGAAAGCGUGGGGAGCAAACAGG
rnacentral:rRNA from 1 species